GACGUAGGGGGCCAGCGUUGCUCGGAAUUACUGGGUGUAAAGGGUUCGUAGGCGGUGUGGCAAGUCGGGAGUGAAAUCUCUGUGCUCAACCCAGAGUCUGCUUCCGAAACUGCUGUGCUUGAGUGUGGGAGAGGCGCGUGGAAUUGCAGGUGUAGCGGUGAAAUGCGUAGAUAUCUGCAGGAACACCCGUGGCGAAAGCGGCGCGCUGGACCACUACUGACGCUGAGGAACGAAAGCUAGGGGAGCAAACAGG
rnacentral:rRNA from 1 species